GAGGAAAGAUGGAGGCGUGCCUAAUACAUGCAAGUCGAGCGAACAGACGCGGCGCUUGCUCCUCUGACGUUAGCGGCGGACGGGUGAGUCACACGUGUAUCACCUCCCUAUCAUACUGGGAUCAUUUCGGGACUCCGGCUCUAAUCCCGUAUAAUAUCUUGAACCGCAUGGUUCAAUAGUGAAAGUCGGUUUUGCUGUCACUUAUAGCUGCAUCCGCGCCGCAUUAGCUAGUUGGUAAGGUAACGGCUUACCAAGGGAACGCUGCGUAGCCGACCGGAGAGGGGGAUCGGCGACACGGGAGCGGAGACACGGACCAGACGCCUACGGGAGGGAGCAGUAGGGAAUCUGACGCAGUGGGCGAAAGCCUGACGGAGCAACGCCGCGUGAGAGAUGAAGGUCUUCGGAGCGGAAAACUGCGUUAUGAGGGAAGAACAAAUGUGGAAGGAACUAUGCACGUCGUGACGGUAACGAAUCAGAAAGCAACGGAUAAAUACGUG
rnacentral:rRNA from 1 species